UUACCAGGGCUUGACAUCCUACUAACGAACCAGAGAUGGAUUAGGUGCCCUUCGGGGAAAGUAGAGACAGGUGGUGCAUGGUUGUCGUCAGCUCGUGUCGUGAGAUGUUGGGUUAAGUCCCGCAACGAGCGCAACCCUUAUUGUUAGUUGCUACGCAAGAGCACUCUAGCGAGACUGCCGUUGACAAAACGGAGGAAGGUGGGGACGACGUCAAAUCAUCAUGCCCCUUACGUCCUGGGCCACACACGUACUACAAUGGCGGCCAACAAAGAGAGGCGAGACCGCGAGGUGGAGCAAAUCUCAAAAAGCCGUCCCAGUUUGGAUCGCAGGCUGCAACCCGCCUGCGUGAAGUUGGAAUCGCUAGUAAUCGCGGAUCAGCAUGCCGCGGUGAAUACGUUCCCGGGCCUUGUACACACCGCCCGUCACACCAUGAGAGUCGGGAACACCCGAAGUCCGUAGCCUAACCGCAAGGAGGGCGCGGCCGAAGGUGGGUUCGAUAAUUGGGGUGAAGUCGUAACAAGGUAACCGU
rnacentral:rRNA from 1 species